rnacentral:rRNA from 1 species
GAUGAACGCUGGCGGCGUGCCUAAUACAUGCAAGUCGAGCGAACGGACGAGAAGCUUGCUUCUCUGAUGUUAGCGGCGGACGGGUGAGUAACACGUGGAUAACCUACCUAUAAGACUGGGAUAACUUCGGGAAACCGGAGCUAAUACCGGAUGAUAUUUUGAACCGCAUGGUUCAAAAGUGAAAGACGGUCUUGCUGUCACUUAUAGAUGGAUCCGCGCUGCAUUAGCUAGUUGGUAAGGUGACGGCUUACCAAGGCAACGAUGCAUAGCCGACCUGAGAGGGUGAUCGGCCACACUGGAACUGAGACACGGUCCAGACUCCUACGGGAGGCAGCAGUAGGGAAUCUUCCGCAAUGGGCGAAAGCCUGACGGAGCAACGCCGCGUGAGUGAUGAAGGUCUUCGGAUCGUAAAACUCUGUUAUUAGGGAAGAACAUAUGUGUAAGUAACUGUGCACAUCUUGGCGGUACCUAAUCAGAAAGCCACGGCUAACUACGUG